rnacentral:tRNA from 1 species
GCGGGCGUGGCGAAAUUGGCAUACGCACUAGGUUUAGGUCCUAGCGCCGAAAGGCAUGAGAGUUCGAGUCUCUCCGCCCGCACCA